CCUACGGGAGGCAGCAGUAGGGAAUAUUGCUCAAUGGGGGAAACCCUGAAGCAGCAACGCCGCGUGGAGGAUGAAGGUUUUCGGAUUGUAAACUCUUUUUGUUAGAGAAGAUAAUGACGGUAUCUAACGAAUAAGCACCGGCUAACUCCGUGCCAGCAGCCGCGGUAAUACGGAGGGUGCAAGCGUUACCCGGAAUCACUGGGCGUAAAGAGGGCGUAGGCGGGAUAGCAAGUCAGUUGUGAAAUCCUAUGGCUUAACCAUAGAACUGCAUUUGAAACUGUUAUUCUAGAGUAUGGGAGAGGUAGGUGGAAUUCUUGGUGUAGGGGUAAAAUCCGUAGAGAUCAAGAGGAAUACUCAUUGCGAAGGCGACCUGCUAGAACAUAACUGACGCUGAUGCGCGAAAGCGUGGGGAGCAAACAGGAUUAGAUACCCCUGUAGUC
rnacentral:rRNA from 1 species